CCUACCAUUCGCCCAUUUGUUUAUAACAAAUCAAUGAUUUGGUCACAAAUUUACCUCUUGCACAUCCCUGAAUUUCACUUAACUUGGUGAGAGACUUCCCUUCCGCAGCAAAUGAAGUAGCAGGACAAAAAUCUUCUCACCUGUCCAGAAUGUCAUGUGCUAAACCUAUUCGAGCAAGACAAACAGAAAUGAUUCCGAAACUUUAGGAUCAGUGCAUGAAAAGAUCUCGUGAAGCAGUAAAAUCGUUUACAUAUCAAGGAUCGCCACCUUUGCCUAUUCCUUCCUCAUUCACCCGAGGGACCCAUACCCAUUCACCAUAAGGAAACAUCAAAAACAAGCAUUGCUCCAGUGGCUGGCUCUGGCUUC